ACCUCUGACUCCCGAGUGCUGGGAUUAAAGGUGUGCGCCACCACCUCCCGGCUUACCUGUCUGUUGAAUUAGUCUUUUGAGGACAGGCUCUGAGCACAGCUUGUCACAGCAUCCAGGGCCCACAGUCUGACUACAGAAACUCUGGUAACAAUUUUGGCAAGUGAUGACCAGAAGAAAAAGCACCCAUGUGGGUUAGUGUCAGUCACCAGCAGCAAGUUGACCCGGGAUACAGAAGAGAUUCCAAAGUCGUUUUGUUCCAGGGACGACUCCUCGCACACUAGCUGGCAUCAUCUGGCUUUUCUUUCUGUUUGGUGAAGCAGAGAUAUGAACUGUGUUUUGGACUCUGAAGAAAUUGACUCGAGUCCUCUGAGCCACUGUGUUGAACCAUCUGGACCACUGCAUCACUUCCAGGACAACAGGCCUCGUCAACUUGGGAGCGCUUUCUGAAGCCAAUUCUGAGUUCUUUUGUACUGUUCAUGAAAGGCGUUGAUCUUCUGGGGCUCUGUUGAACCACUGAGAUUCUGGAGAACCAUGUGCAACACAAAACCAAGGGUGUGGAGGAGGUCUCUGGUGGGACUUGUUUCUUGUCCCCCCCUUAGUUUAGAACACAAGCAAGGGAUUGGUGCUGAAUCUUAUUAUUUCGGUUGCACUAUGCCAAGCUGACAGAGAAAGUUGGGACAGCUUCCCUUGGCUGUUGGAAGCAGAGCAGUUUCUCUUGUCUCCUUGGGCUCUGGUGAUUUCCUCUUUGCUGAUGGAGGCACAAGCUUGGAGCAAGAGCCAGGCUGACUCGAGCCUGGGGUGCUUUUGCUCCCACACAGGCAAAGUCAGUGUUGGCACCUUUUAUGUCUUUAACAUGGUGAAGAAUUGAAUCUAUCUUUGUAUGUGAGGCUUUGAUCUGCUUGUAGGUGACCUUCUCACUGGAGGAUAUCAUUGUUUUGGCAAGAAUGUCCUUGCAGACUUUUGACCAAACAGUCUCCACGGUCUUUGAGCCACCUUCUGCUUGAGGGCACAUGGUGAUGGUCUCUUCUAAGUUAACCACAGCUCAUUUAAAUUUGAAUAGCACAAGCCCAAGCCCUGCAACCUCAGAUGCCAUCUGCAUUACUUCUUCACAUAGCUCUUGGUCUAGGAUUAGUUGUCCUUGAACCAUUGCUGAGGAUUCGAGGGCUGGCACAAUUGUUUCUGUGGGUUUUCCUUGACCAGAAUCAUCUUGCUUUCUGCUUAAUUGUUCCUUUGGACUCAUCACUUCCAAAUGGUGAGACUGUGUGGCAAUCAUUUUCUUCUAAUGAGCAGGGCAAGAGGGCGUGCAUGAGGCAUCCAGCUGUGCACAAAUUGCUGCUUCCGGUCAUUGAACCUCUCCGUUCUCAUCAUGAAACAGAUCAGAAUUUUCUUCUCCAUGCCAAGCUCAGAGGCUGUCUACAUCACCAGGUGCAAGAGGAGGCUCAUCAAGGACACACUUCAUCUCCUGAGAGUCAACGUUACUUCUUAAUUGGAAUUGUAAUCACAGAAUGUCUCACCAAGUCUUUUCUUUCUCAUGUUGGCCACGUUAUGCAUGCUUGUAAAGUUGCCUGGAGCUAUCCAGUCAUAUCCUAGUCAUUUAAGAGCUUUAAUAAAAUGAAAAGUUUCUCCAUG